ensembl:lncRNA
GGGCGGGAGUAUGUUCAGAGUUCACGGGUAUACAUUUUACUGAGAAACCACAGUUGUGAUACAGUGGAGGAUUGUUGGAAUCUUUUGCAUAUAAGGGAUUUGCAUGUGAAUGACAACACAACAGUAUUUGAGAUUCACGGAUUGUAGCUCCCAAAUGAAGGGGGCGGGAGAGACAAACAAGCGCUGCACAAUGCACCCAGAGUUGGCGGACGCGCGAACCCAGAUGGAAAAAAAAAAACGAGAACAAUAAAGGAAAAUCGUGUAUGUAACCAGUAGUGGUAGGUGACGUUUUGAAACUGACUUGGGGAAUUUGGACUUGGGGGCGGGAGAAGGCGGUAGGUGUGUAUACAAUAAAGAGGAUUGACUGACUACGGAUUUGCAGUGGUGCUGUCAUGACUGCAUUAACCUAAUCAACUUCACGUUACAAGUAUGUCAAGGUUACCUUUAAUCACAAAGAAAGAGAAACCGUUUCAAAAUGCUAUUCCAGAUGUUUAGCUAAGAUACAGAUGGGAGAAUAGGAUGUGAUAUGCCCCAUGUGAGGGACGUACUGACUUCAAAGUGACCCAGGAGAAAGGAGAUAACAACAUUUUAUCUAUUUUAAGAAAUAUCUGAUUGAGAAUUUCAGUAAAAGUUUUUUUUUUUUUUUUUGCAAAAGGUUUUAACCAAUCUGGCUAGAAGGGGUUGGAGUUAGGUGAAAAGUAUAACAAAUUAUAAUGGAUAUGUUAAAGAAAAUGCUCACUUAUAUACAGUAUGUGUGUUUCUUUCUGUUUGGUUGUAUAAAAGAUGAUGUAGGGCUGUUUAUCCUUAUCACGGUUUAUUACCCGGCCAGAGGUACGACCUUCAUCCCAUGUCUGCAGAACUGUAAUAAACGAAGCUUAUGAUACCUUAGGCCUCGGUGAGUCAGCUUCAAGAAAACUAACCAGACUGUACUUGCAAUAACACUCUACAGACCCACAGAGCAUUUUUUCUCUUUCACAGUCAGACACUUAACAGUGAGUGAGUUAUAUCCCCUUGGCACUAUAAUGUACGUGCUAGCCUACUGUAAAGUGGGAAGCUUACGAUUUGACAUUGAAAAGCUUUCCUGUCACCAAUCACAGUUAAAAUAUACUGCCCUGAUGAUGAUGUCAUAUUGCUCAAUUA